ACAUGCAAGUCGAACGGUAACAGGAAGCAGCUUGCUGCUUCGCUGACGAGUGGCGGACGGGUGAGUAAUGUCUGGGAAGCUGCCUGAUGGAGGGGGAUAACUACUGGAAACGGUAGCUAAUACCGCAUAAUGUCGCAAGACCAAAGAGGGGGACCUUCGGGCCUCUUGCCAUCGGAUGUGCCCAGAUGGGAUUAGCUUGUUGGUGGGGUAACGGCUCACCAAGGCGACGAUCCCUAGCUGGUCUGAGAGGAUGACCAGCCACACUGGAACUGAGACACGGUCCAGACUCCUACGGGAGGCAGCAGUGGGGAAUAUUGCACAAUGGGCGCAAGCCUGAUGCAGCCAUGCCGCGUGUAUGAAGAAGGCCUUCGGGUUGUAAAGUACUUUCAGCGGGGAGGAAGGGAGUAAAGUUAAUACCUUUGCUCAUUGACGUUACCCGCAGAAGAAGCACCGGCUAACUCCGUGCCAGCAGCCGCGGUGAUACGGAGGGUGCAAGCGUUAAUCGGAAUUACUGGGCGUAAAGCGCACGCAGGCGGUUUGUUAAGUCAGAUGUGAAAUCCCCGGGCUCAACCUGGGAACUGCAUCUGAUACUGGCAAGCUUGAGUCUCGUAGAGGGGGGUAGAAUUCCAGGUGUAGCGGUGAAAUGCGUAGAGAUCUGGAGGAAUACCGGUGGCGAAGGCG
rnacentral:rRNA from 1 species